ensembl:snRNA U6 U6 spliceosomal RNA
GUGCAGCACAUAUACUAAAUUUGGAACAAUACGGAGAUUAGCCUGGACGUUGUGCAAAGAUAACACACAAAUUAAUGCAACAUUCCAUUUAAAA